rnacentral:lncRNA from 1 species
AUAAAAAGAACAAAAAUAUUUACAAUUUAUUUCUAGGGCAGAGUCCUCACUCCAGAUUCCUGCAUUCAUACUAAUGGCAUUUGGACCUGCACACAGAAGGGGAUUCAACUCCAGAACAGUAUAUUGGAGUCAGAGGGAACAAGGUACAAUAGAAUGAGUGUACUAUCUCUACAUCAGAAGACCUUCUGACUGCGCCCUGGAGUUUCCCCUACCACAUCUGUAACUUUCAUCACUGCUCAAACAAUAAAAAAUGUCAAUCACUUUGAAUCCUGCCUAAGGUAUUUUCUUCUCCUCCC